rnacentral:lncRNA from 1 species
GAGGGCCCAUGCCAGAACCUGACCAUGCUGGCACUCUGAUUUUGGAUUUCUAGUCUCUAGAACUGUGAAUAAGUACGUUUCUAUUGCGUAAGCCACCCAGUCUAUGGUAUUUUAUUAUGGCAGCCUGAGCUGACUAAUAUAGGCUUCUAGAUUGGAAGGGGAAGGAAGUAAAGAGAGAGAAUUGAUAGGGAUAAAGAAGAGGCAUCAAGAGACUUGGGGUAUCUGCUACUGAAGACAUCAGCUCUCUAUGACAAAACAGCACAGCAUGUUUGGAGUAAGAGAAAGCUGAAGUCUCAACAAACAAAUAGAUUCUUAAUGUUCUAUACCACCGGACAAACUGCAGCCCUUUUAUACAUAUGGAGUACUUUCUGGGCCAGUCCUGUGGCCCCUUUCAAAUGUAUGGUGUUGAAACGUAGUAAGUUUAUGUUUUUAAGGUCUGCCCCUCCCUUCUUGCAUUAUAUCAUAAACUCUUCUCUUUUUUUUUUUUUUUGAGACGGAGUCCCGCUCUGUCACGCAGGCUGCCAGGCUGGCGUACAGUGGCGCAAUCUCAGCUCGCUGCAACCUCCACCUCCUGGGUUCAAGCGAUUUUCUUGCCUCUGCCUCCUGAGUAGCUGGGAUUACUGGCACACACCACCAUGCACAGGGAGAUAUGAGACAUCAAUCAAUAUAUGUAAGAUGUACAUCAGUUUCGUCUGGAAAGAUGGGACAACAUGAAGCAGGGAGGGGGCUCCCUGGUGACAGUUCCUUGUUCAAAAUGCCAAGAACCUGGAUGACUCAUAGUCAAGACCCUCCACCAGUAACAUAUAUUGGCGAGCCAGCCAGGAGACCACUACAGGAAACACUCCAUUUAUUCCACCUGACUUCCCACUUGGCUGCAUCCUCAACCAUUGAAAUGAAUUUGACCCUGAUAAUCUAAGGAGGAAACAUUUGAUAUUCUUUUGCAAUAAUACUUGGCCCCAGUAUUGUUUGGAAUCUGGAGUUUGCUGUUGAAUGGGAAAGCAGGAUGACGUUGCAUGUAUCCAGGCUUUGGUGCUGCUGUCCUAAGAAGGGUCAGGCCUAGUCAGCAUAUGGUGCUCUCCUUUGGUGCUAUUUGGCUCCAGUGUCUUUGGAGUCUGAGGAGGUUUGGCCUUUAAAAAUCAAACUGCCACCGGAACUGCUUUAAAAAUGUUUGGUUCACAGCCUUCACUGGAUUACCUAUUGGAGCAAACAAAGUGUAACCAUGUAAAACCUGUGAGCUUGUAUUGAUAUCUCAUGGCUAGAGUUCCAAGGUAAAAGCUAUUGGAUCUUCGUUUGUGUGUGUGUAUACAUGUCUAGAUGUGUUUAUUUGUAUGUACACUUAUUGUUAUAUGUUGUGUCAACCAAAUCAGCUUAUAAAUAAAAAAGCACUCAUAAAUUAAAUAAAUAAGUCCAAGCAAUUUUC